rnacentral:rRNA from 1 species
ACAGACGAGUUUGAUCCUGGCUCAGAACGAACGCUGGCGGCAGGCUUAACACAUGCAAGUCGAACGCUCGUAGCAAUACGGGAGUGGCGGACGGGUGAGUAACGCGUGGGAACGUGCCCUGAGGUACGGAAUAACUGAGGGAAACUUCAGCUAAUACCGUAUGAGCCCCGAGAGGGGGAAAGAUUUAUCGCCUUGGGAGCGGCCCGCGUCGGAUUAGCUAGUUGGUGGGGUAACGGCCUACCAAGGCUUCGAUCCGUAGCUGGUCUGAGAGGACGAUCAGCCACACUGGGACUGAGACACGGCCCAGACUCCUACGGGAGGCAGCAGUGGGGAAUCUUGCGCAAUGGGGGCAACCCUGACGCAGCCAUGCCGCGUGAACGAUGAAGGCCUUAGGGUUGUAAAGUUCUUUUACCCGUGACGAUGAUGACGGUAACGGGGGAAUAAGCUCCGGCUAACUUCGUG